GAAAAGGUCUUUUUAAAGACCAAAUUUUUACAGAUUUUUAUCUUGU
rfam:Enterobius vermicularis genome assembly, scaffold: EVEC_scaffold0003250